GACGAACGCUGGCGGCGUGCCUAAUACAUGCAAGUAGGACACAGUUGAGAACGGGUGAGUAACGCGUAGGUAACUACCUAUUAGAGGGGGAUAACUAUUGGACACGCUAGCUAAUACCGCUUACUCGAAAAUGGACCUUCGUUGUAUUAGCUAGUUUGUAGGGUAAUGGCAUACAGAGGCAACGAUACAUAGCCGACCUGAGAGGUUGUGCGGCCAAACUGUGUCUGGUGCACGGCCCAGACUCCUACGGGAGGCAGCAGUAGGGAAGCUUCGGCAAUGGGGGGAACCCUGACCGAGCAACGCCGGGUGAGUGGAGAAGUUUUUCGAAUCGUAAAGCUCUGUUGUUAAGGAAGCGGUACUUAACCAGAAAGGGACGGCUAACUACGUGCCAGCAGCCGCGGUAAUAC
rnacentral:rRNA from 1 species